rnacentral:misc_RNA from 1 species
AGCCCCUCCCUAAUCCACCUUCUACAAUUUAAAUUAAAAGAAAUGAGAAACAAAGUUAACCCCAAAAAAUAAUAAAAAAAAAGGUACCCUCUAUACAAACAAGAGGAACAAAACUUCUGUGCUAUUUAACGACCAUAGUAAAAGUUAAAACUUUAUACUUCAAACCAUAAUGGUCUCAUUAUCAUCAUUUUCCGUUUUCCAGCCGUUAACACUCUCAUCAUAGCAUC